AUGGAGGCCAAGGUCCGCCAGAGCCGGCGCUCGCGCGCGCAGCGGGACCGUGGCCGGCGCCGGGAGGCGGCCCGCGACGCCCGCGACCAGAGCGCGUCGUCGGGGGAUGAGCCUGAGCCCGGGCCCGGCAAGGAGAACACGGGCCUGCCCCGCGCGCCCCCGCCCCGCGCCGCCGCCGCGCGCCCCCCGCGCCGCCGCCGCCGCGAGUCCAGCUCGCAGGAGGAAGAGGUCAUCGACGGCUUCGCCAUUGCCAGCUUCAGCACGCUGGAGGCCUUGGAGAAGGACAUGGCCCUGAAGCCACACGAGCGGAAGGAGAAGUGGGAACGUCGCCUUGUCAAGAAGCCCCGGGAGGCAGAAAACUGCCCAUCUGCAGAGCCAAGUGAGAACGGGCGGCCCCUGGAGGCAGGCAGCUCUGAGCAGGACCUGGAGACCCCCUGUGACCGAGGGAAGAAGAAGGUCCCUCUGCAGCCCACCAAGCAGAUGAAGGUCGCAGUGUCCAGAGGGGGCGACCACAACAGUGACGGCGACAGCUUCCGAGAAGCCACCAGCUCCCGGAGGAGCAGUUCUCGGGACCAACUCAGUGAUAGCUCGGCGCAGGCAGUCUCAGGCAGAGGUUACUCCUGUGACAGCGAGAGCGACGGGGAUGACAAGGCAUCUGUGGGCUCCGAGAAGCUCUUUGCCCCAGCAGCCGAUAAAGGCCCCACGCUGGGCGAGAAGUCCGAGGCCAAGACCGGGGCAGCGCCCAAGGUCUCGGGUCUCGAGCGCAGCCGCGAGCUGAGCACCGAGCCGCCCUUCUUGGCCCCCGUGCGCAGCCCCGCGCCGGUCUUGCCCUCCGCCAGCACCGCGGCCAGCCCGCUGGUCAAGAAGGAAGCCCCGGCGCUGCCCCGCCUUGCCCCGCAGCUGCCACCCGCGCCCUCGCAGCCCCGGGCCCCGCUCCUGACGCACGUGCCUCUCCCUCCGGGCGCCUUCCCGGGCCCCGGCCCGGCCGCGCACAACGGCCUGCACAGCCUCAGCAGGAGCAGCAGCGCCAGCAGCGGUGCCAGCCUGGGGCUCGCGAAGCACGCGUCCCUGUCGCCUCACGGGCCGGGCCCCCACCUCUCUACCUCACACUUGGCGCUCCGCUCGCAGGCCCAGCACCAGCACCACGCGGCGGCCAUGUUCGCCGCGCCCCCGACACUGCCCCCGCCCCCGGCGCUGCCGGCCAACAGCCUGGUCAUCCCAGGACACCCCGCCGAUGCCAGCCUGUUGAUCUCAUUCAGCCAGCCAAUCAUGUAUUGCCAGCCUCAUUCGGGGAUUCUGAUUGGUACUUGGUCACAGGCACCUCUCUUACCUCCACCCUGGGGCCCGCACGUAGCGAGCGGCCACCACGGCUUGGCCUGCCGAAACCGGGAGUGCCAGUUUGACAAGUACACGCCCAAGCUGGACAGCCCCUACUUCCGACAUUCCAACUUUUUCCCGCCCUUCCCUCCGGCCGUCCCAGGACUGCCCGCCCUGCUCCCACACCCAGGCCCCUUUGGAUCCCUGCAGGGUGCUUUUCAGCCCAAGACUUCAAACCCACUCGAGUUAACAGGCCGGGCCAGUGCGGUUCACACCCUCCUGCAGAAAGCCCCCGGGCAGGUGUCUGACCCGUACCGGACAGCAAUCAGGAAGCCGGGGAAGUGGUGCGCUGUGCACGUGCAGAUCGCCUGGCAGAUCUACCACCAUCAGCAGAAGAUAAAGAUGCAGCUGGAGCCCCACAAGCUGGACGUGGGCACCAAGCUGGACUUAUUCAGCAGACCCCCCGCCCCGGGCGUGUUCGCCGGAUUCCACUACCCACAGGACCUGGCCCGGCCCCUCUUCUCCAGCUCGGGUGCCACCCAUCCUGCCGCCAACCCGUUCGGACCCUCAGCGCAUCCUGGCAGCUUCCUGCCCACUGGUCACUUGACAGACCCUUUCAGCAGAUCAAGCACCUUCGGGGGCCUGGGGAGCCUAGGCAGCAACGCUUUUGGAGGCCUCGGCAGCCACGCGCUGACUCCCAGCAGCGGCGGCAUCUUUGCCCCCAAGGAGGGCCCCACACUGCACGGUCUGCCCAGCCCCCACGAGGCCUGGAACCGGCUGCACCGAGCACCACCCUCCUUCCCCACGCCACCCCCAUGGCCCAAGCCCUUAGACGCCGAGCGGGUCUCAGCCCUGACCAACCACGACCGAGAGCUGGACAAGGGCAAGGAGGAGCGGGACCGGGACCUCCUGGAAAAGACACGCCUGCUGAGCCGGGCCUCUCCAGCGGCGCCCGUGGGCCACCCAGGCAGUGGCCUCGUGCUCCGGGGCCAGGGCGAUCCGGGCCGGCCCGGGAUCCCUGCCGAACGCGAGGCUGAGCUCCGCAUCAAGGAGAGCCGCUCCCCGGCCAGGGAGGACGGCCCCAAGCCCAGCAAGAUGGCCCUGGGGGAAGGCCUGCGCCUGGCCGGUCUCCUGGGCCGCGAGCCCGGGAAGCCGCACGAGGCGCCGGCCGAGCGGUCCCAGGGCGACGUGAAGGUCAAGGAGGAGCGCGGGGAGGACGGAGACGCGCCCCCACAGCCCGGCCCGGGCCCCGCGGGCCGCGAGCGCCCGGCCUUCGCGUGGGAGCCACCGCGCGACGCCUACCGCGGCCCGGAGCUGCCCCGCCGCGCCCCGCCGGGCCCGGGCCCCGCCGCCCUCCUCGAGCCGCCCGAGCGCCCCUACCGGGACCGCGAGCCGCACGACUACAGCCCCGAGCGCCUGCGGGAGGCGCGCCGCGACGAGCUAGAGCGCGCCCGGGCCGCGCACCUGGACGGCGCGGCGCUGCUGCCGGCGCUGGGCGCCCUGCACUACCCGCGCCUCGCGCCCGCCGCCGCCGCCCUGCACAACAGUCUCCUGGCGCGGACCCCGCCCGCCGCCGCCGCGCUCGGCGCGCCGCCGCCGCUGGUGGCCGCAGGCGGGCCCCCCACGCCCCCCGGGCAGCCGCGGAGCAGGACUACGCCGCUGGGGGCCCGCGCGCCGGGUGAGGCCCGCGACUACUCCCCGUCCCGCAACCCCCAGGAGGUAGAGGCGCGGUAG
rnacentral:lncRNA from 1 species